rnacentral:rRNA from 1 species
UACAGAGGGGGCAAGCGUUGUUCGGAUUUACUGGGCGUAAAGGGCGCGUAGGCGGCCACCGCAAGUCAGUUGUGAAAUCUCUGGGCUUAACCCAGAACGGUCAGCUGAUACUGCGGGGCUAGAGUGCAGAAGGGGCAACUGGAAUUCUCGGUGUAGCGGUGAAAUGCGUAGAUAUCGAGAGGAACACCUGCGGCGAAGGCGGGUUGCUGGGCUGACACUGACGCUGACAGCGCGAAAGCUAGGGGAGCGAACGGG